rnacentral:rRNA from 1 species
UACGGAGGGGGCUAGCGUUGUUCGGAAUUACUGGGCGUAAAGCGCGCGUAGGCGGAUCUGCAAGUCGGGUGAAAUCCCGAGGCUCAACCUCGGAACUGCCUUCGAUACUGCGGGUCUCGAGUCCGGGAGAGGUGAGUGGAAUUCCUAGUGUAGAGGUGAAAUUCGUAGAUAUUAGGAAGAACACCAGUGGCGAAGGCGGCUCACUGGCCCGGUACUGACGCUGAGGCGCGAAAGCUAGGGGAGCAAACGGG